GGCUCAGAUUGAACGCUGGCGGAAUGCUUUACACAUGCAAGUCGAACGGUAGAGGGGGCAACCCCUUGAGAGUGGCGAACGGGUGAGUAAUAUAUCGGAACGUGCCCAGUCGUGGGGGAUAACGUAGCGAAAGCUACGCUAAUACCGCAUACGAUCUACGGAUGAAAGCGGGGGAUCGCAAGACCUCGCGCGAUUGGAGCGGCCGAUAUCAGAUUAGGUAGUUGGUGAGGUAAAGGCUCACCAAGCCAACGAUCUGUAGCUGGUCUGAGAGGACGACCAGCCACACUGGAACUGAGACACGGUCCAGACUCCUACGGGAGGCAGCAGUGGGGAAUUUUGGACAAUGGGCGCAAGCCUGAUCCAGCAAUGCCGCGUGCAGGAUGAAGGCCUUCGGGUUGUAAACUGCUUUUGUACGGAACGAAACGGUGAGCUCUAAUACAGUUUGCUAAUGACGGUACCGUAAGAAUAAGCACCGGCUAACUACGUG
rnacentral:rRNA from 1 species